AUGUUAUUUAACAUUGUGGCUGACAUGUUGGCUAUUCUGAUUGAGCGCGUCAAGCAGGACGGCCAGAUUACAAGAGUAGUGCCACAUCUAGUGGAUGGUGGUCUCUCUAUUCUGCAAUAUGCCGGUGACACAAUUCUCUUUAUGGAACAUGACCUAGACAAGGCUAGAAACCUGAAACUUCGUUUGUCAGCGUUGGAGCAAAUGUCAGGUCUUAAGAUUAACUUCCAUAAAGGUGAAUUGUUCUGCUUUGGAGAAGCCGUUGAGGCAGCGGUCGAUUAUGCUGACCUUUUUGGUUGUGCACAUGGACAAUUCCCAAUUAAAUAUUUGGGGAUACCAAUUCAUUAUCGGCGUCUCACCAUUGCGGAGUGGAAGCAUGUAGAGGAGCAGCUAGAGAAACUCUUGCGCAGCUGGAAAGGCAAGUUGCUCUCAGUUGGAGGACAAUUGGUUUUAAUA
rnacentral:rRNA from 1 species